AGAGAGAGAGAGAGAGAGAGAGAGAGAGAGAGAGAGCAACCUCUUAAGAUACACUUCAGAGGCAGCUCAAGCCAAUGACAGCUGCCAUGAAAAAAGGAGUAUUUCAUCAAGGAAAGAGGUGUGUGUGUGUGUGUGUGUGUGUGUGUGUGUGUGUGUGUGUGUGUGUGUGUGUGUGUGUGUGUGUGUGUGUGUGUGUGUGU